rnacentral:rRNA from 1 species
CCUACGGGUGGCAGCAGUGGGGAAUAUUGGACAAUGGGCGAAAGCCUGAUCCAGCCAUGCCGCGUGUGUGAAGAAGGCCUUCGGGUUGUAAAGCACUUUCAGUGGGGAAGAAAGCCUUGGGGCUAAUACCCUCGAGGAAGGACAUCACCCACAGAAGAAGCACCGGCUAACUCCGUGCCAGCAGCCGCGGUAAUACGGAGGGUGCGAGCGUUAAUCGGAAUUACUGGGCGUAAAGCGCGCGUAGGCGGUCUGAUAAGCCGGUUGUGAAAGCCCCGGGCUCAACCUGGGAACGGCAUCCGGAACUGUCAGGCUAGAGUGCAGGAGAGGAAGGUAGAAUUCCCGGUGUAGCGGUGAAAUGCGUAGAGAUCUGGAGGAAUACCAGUGGCGAAGGCGGCCUUCUGGACUGACACUGACGCUGAGGUGCGAAAGCGUGGGUAGCAAACAGGAUUAGAUACCCCAGUAGUC